CGGGUGAGUAAUGUCUGGGAAACUGCCUGAUGGCGGGGGAUAACUACUGGAAACGGUAGCUAAUACCGCAUAAUGUCUGCGGACCAAAGCGGGGGACCUCCGGGCCUCGCGCCAUCAGAUGAACCCAUAUGGGAUUAGCUAGUAGGUGAGGUAACGGCUUACCUAGGCGACGAUCCCUAGCUGGUCUGAGAGGAUGACCAGCCACACUGGAACUGAGACACGGUCCAG
rnacentral:rRNA from 1 species